GCCUGGCCCGCGACGCACCGAGGCCUGAGGACCCGAAAGCCGGGCGCGGGGAGAUGACCGGUGGCUCGUGACGGUCCCACGGGCAAAAUCUUCCAUCGCCCGGGGCUGAGACUUGUCAAACUGCCCUCUACGGUCACCCGGAAAGUAGGAGGCUUUUUCUGCAGAGGGGAAAAAAAUCAAAAAGAGCCGUUCCAUCCCCCCUCCAAGGACUGGGUUUGAAUUGCUUUUCAUCUGCAGUGGCUGUGAUUCAGCGUCCCUCUUAGCAGCAGGCAAUGACAGAGGCAGGAGAGGGGAAAAAAAAAAAGAAAGAAAGAAAAAACACAGCAAAUGAAUCAAACGGACGUAGCAGGCAAGAGUGUGGUUAUCGUUGGACCAGGAUUCAGGAUCUGACUGAGUAGCUGACUCUUAAUCCAGUUUGUGUUGAUCACCAGGAGGAUCUGGACCUCAGUAUUACCACAUCUAGAGCUAUAAUCACAUCCCUGUUAAGCCUUCCUGAGAUCACACCAAAUGUCCUUGAUGGGAAUUGUAAACAACCCUUACUUCUGGUUUCUAAUGAUAUUCCAGGAAAGGAGCCUAACUAGAGUCAGUGAGUAUUCAUGCACUUCAAACCCUGUGACAUAAUAAGAUUUGAUUUUUAAGAAAACAACUUGAGAGGAUGGAUUCAGAAAAGAGGCAGAUCCAAGGGAGAGUCUAAACUGGAGAGCAGUGGCAAUGAACAGGAGGAGGCCAUAUCGAGAGAUGAAUUGAUCAUCUUAUAGACCUGGAGGUCAGAAAUCUAAAAUCAAAGUGUGGGCUGUGUUCCUUCUGGAGGAUCGAGGGGAGAAUCCAUUUCCUUGCCCUUUUCAGCCUCUAGAUGCCACCUGCAUUCCUUGGCUUAUAGUCCCUUUCUCUAUGUUUAAGGCCAACUGCAUAGCAUCUUCCCCCAUUUCUUUGUAACUUCUGCUUCAUGGUGAUGGGGACAUCUCUCUCUCUGAUCGUAGGAAUUGAUUUAGAUGCUUUUCUAGCCAUAUGUAUUAUGAACUAAAUGCAGUUGAAUUACUUAUGGGAGGAAAUGGCAGGUGACCUCAUUACUUGUCAAAUCAUCGUUAGAUAACUGACUUGACUGUUAAGAUUGCUGAAGCAGUGAUUUAUUACCUCAGCUAAAUCUGUAUCAAUCUGGUGACCCGUGUAACUGAAACCAAGAUGUUAACACUGUAAGAAAACCUAGCUUAUGUUUGCAGCUCCUGAGAAUAAAUCCCUUUAUCUUGAAAUACCUGGAAAUCCCUUUUUAAUGUCCAGUGGAGUCAUAUUGCCAAGUUUGAGAAAUGUGUCUAGACCAGUAUUUCCCAAACAGCCCACCAGACAACACCAGCCUGUAAGAUGGUGAUAUUGUUUGGAUGUUUUUUCCCUCCAAAUUUCGUGUUGAAAUGUGACCGCCAUGUUGGAGUUGGACCUAGUGGAAGGUAUUUGGGUGAUGGGGAAUCUCUUGUGUGGCUAUGUACCUUCCCUGCAGUAAUGAGUUCAUGAAAGAUCUGGAUGUUUAAAAGAGUCUGUGAUCUUCCUCCUCUCUCUCUUGCUCCUGUUCUUGCCAGGUGAUAUGCCAACUCCACCUUUGCCUUCCACCAUGUUUGGAAGCUCCCUGAGGCCUCACCAGGAGCAGAUGCUCGUCCCAUGCUUCCUAUAAGCCUGCAGAACUGUGAGCCAUAAUAAACUGUGAAUUAUAAAUUGCCUUUAUAGCAAUGCAAAUGGACCAGUACAGAUGGGAUGCUGGGAAGACAGUUGUUUCCACCUUCAGUAAAGUCCGUGGAACACAGUUGUGACUAUAUUCUAGGCCAGCCAAGAUGCUUGUACUCAGAAAGGAGUGGUCUCAGGACCAUAAGAAAGUGAAAAAAUAAAAAUAAGAAAAUAAAGAAGGGAUUGUCAAUGAAUCAGAAUUCAUCAAGGUCAAAGUCUUAGGAAAUUCCUUCAUGAGGAAGUCUAGGGGGGCUAUGGAAAUGAAAUUUUUAAACAAAUAGGUAUGUGGUGCUGGCAGGAAUAAAUUAUGGACUUAUGAAUAUAACAUAAGAUUCUUUAUUACCUGGUCUCACCCGUCUUUCCACCUCUGCCCCCCUUCUUGCCCGACUCUGUGUAUCACCCAUAAUAAACUACUUACAGCUUCCUAGUGUUAAAUUUACCCUAAAGCUGCCUCCUUCAAUAUUUUAAGUUUAACCUAAAGGUUCUUCAUACAUAGUGAACUAUAACCCAAUGAUUAAACAGAUUGUAACCUACUCUUGUACCAGUCACCAAGUUUCAGCCAAUCAGAGGUGGCCAACUGUUCAAACCAUGCUCAAAUAAGGGAAAUGUCAUGGUGUAACUAAUCCAGCUGUUUCUAUACCUUACUUCUGUUUUCUUAGGUCACUUUCCUUUUUUGUCCAUAAAUUCUCUCCAACCACUCAGCAGCACUGGAGUCACUCCAAAGCUAUCCUGGUUCAGGGGUCUGUCUGAUUCACAAGUCAUUCUUUGUUCAAUUGAGCUCUGCUAAAUUUAAUUUGUCUGAAGUUUUUCUUUUAACAGAUGGUGUCAGAAAUGGACCCCAAAGUAGAGCUCCCAGUGAUCCCCCAGGAGCACUGAGUGACCACAAGGGGUACCUGCUGGGCCCGUCCUCUCGCAGUGUCCACUGCUCUCUUACAGCAACUGGAGAUUGUGGCUGCAUUCUCUCUCAGAUUCUGAAGCUCCAUACAUUGCCGUUUUCAGCUGUUCAAGCUUGCUUGAGCAAAUUUUUGAUCUUAGCUGAGUUUGGAAGUCGAUAGACAUUGGACUGGGUCCAGGAUUUGAUUGGAUCUGAUAAUUAACUGGCUUGGAUCCAGUUAGAUGCCUCGGUUAUCUGACUGGGUCAGAUAGAAACCGCCAGUAAAUAUUUUAAUAACAAUACUGCAGGGGUAUGAACUCUGGCUUUAAGAAACUCACAAGGAAUUUUAUGUUCUAUACCCUUUGUUUCUUUUUCUUGUGUGCUUCGGUCAGGAAAAA
rnacentral:lncRNA from 1 species